AUUCUGAGUUGAACAAAAGUAACAAAGUUCAAGUAGAAGUAAAAAUUUAUUAAUAAUCAGAAUUAUAAAGAAUAUUUGUUUUUAAGACUCCGAAAAGCGCUAUAUU